ACAAGAGGAAGUCCCCAAUUGGGCUAAACAUGGCAGAAUAAACUGGUCCAGAAUGACCUUGGAAUAAUGUACAGGAUUUACGCGCUUCAUCUGAUGUCGAUACCCGCUCAAUCUGGGAGGGUCCAUUCUCGCCUUGUGAACAAGCUGAAAAUUAUAGUUUCUUCAAUCAUUCCACAUAUAAUGAUUAAACUGAAGGAGGAAAAAUUGAAAAUAAAAAUUGUCAGGCAUUGAUCCAUAGUUAAGUUUACCCAUUAUGUGUAUUAAGGAAUGUAUAGAAGCUAACAGAUGGCAAUGACAAGCUAUUCAAUUGUGCACGGUUUCGCAAGUCCUCAAGAAUUGACUGCUCAACUUCAACAGACCUGAAAAAAAAUAAUCACUCUGGUUUAACUCGUGGUGCUAUAGAAACCAUGCUAGUUUCAGAUUUCAUGUUUUUCCCUGUGGUUCCUACAAACUUGUCCUUUUUGAUCUUUUUAUGUGAGCCACCCUGCUUUCCACCUUCUGAGGAUCUUUUCUUUUCUUGCCUUGUUGUCUUCUGUGUCUGCAUCCUUGCUUUCUAUUUCAGUUUUAUCAGAAUCUGAAAUUGCCUUCUCCAUACGUUCUUCAA
rnacentral:sRNA from 1 species